rnacentral:rRNA from 1 species
GAUUUGGCGGACGGGUGAGUAACACGUGGGUAACCUGCCCAUAAGAGGGGGAUAACAUCCGGAAACGGGUGCUAAUACCGCAUAGUUUUCUUGAUCGCAUGAUUGAGAAAGGAAAGACGGCCUUUGUGCUGUCGCUUAUGGAUGGACCCGCGGCGUAUUAGUUAGUUGGUGAGGUAACGGCUCACCAAGACGAUGAUACGUAGCCGACCUGAGAGGGUGAUCGGCCACAUUGGGACUGAGACACGGCCCAAACUCCUACGGGAGGCAGCAGUAGGGAAUCUUCCGCAAUGGACGAAAGUCUGACGGAGCAACGCCGCGUGAGUGAAGAAGGUUUUCGGAUCGUAAAACUCUGUUGUCAGAGAAGAACAAGUUGGAGAGUAACUGCUCCAGCCUUGACGGUAUCUGACCAGAAAGCCACGGCUAACUACGUGCCAGCAGCCGCGGUAAUACAAUGGCGGACGGGUGAGUAAAUUACCAGCAGCCGCGGUAAUAAU